UGGGAAUAUUGGGCAAUGGACGCAAGUCUGACCCAGCAACGCCGCGUGAAGGAAGAAGGCUUUCGGGUUGUAAACUUCUUUUAAGGGGAACAGUAGAAGAGGGUACCCCUUGAAUAAGCCACGGCUAACUACGUGCCAGCAGCCGCGGUAAUACGUAGGUGGCAAGCGUUGUCCGGAUUUACUGGGUGUAAAGGGCGUGCAGCCGGAGAGACAAGUCAGAUGUGAAAUCCGCGGGCUUAACCCGCGAACUGCAUUUGAAACUGUAUCUCUUGAGUGUCGGAGAGGUAGACGGAAUUCCUAGUGUAGCGGUGAAAUGCGUAGAUAUUAGGAGGAACACCAGUGGCGAAGGCGGUCUACUGGACGAUAACUGACGCUG
rnacentral:rRNA from 1 species